rnacentral:rRNA from 1 species
GACUGAACGCUGGCGGCAGGCCUAACACAUGCAAGUCGAGCGGAUGAAGGGAGCUUGCUCCUGGAUUCAGCGGCGGACGGGUGAGUAAUGCCUAGGAAUCUGCCUGGUAGUGGGGGAUAACGUCCGGAAACGGGCGCUAAUACCGCAUACGUCCUGAGGGAGAAAGUGGGGGAUCUUCGGACCUCACGCUAUCAGAUGAGCCUAGGUCGGAUUAGCUAGUUGGUGGGGUAAAGGCCUACCAAGGCGACGAUCCGUAACUGGUCUGAGAGGAUGAUCAGUCACACUGGAACUGAGACACGGUCCAGACUCCUACGGGAGGCAGCAGUGGGGAAUAUUGGACAAUGGGCGAAAGCCUGAUCCAGCCAUGCCGCGUGUGUGAAGAAGGUCUUCGGAUUGUAAAGCACUUUAAGUUGGGAGGAAGGGCAGUAAGUUAAUACCUUGCUGUUUUGACGUUACCAACAGAAUAAGCACCGGCUAACUUCGUGCCAGCAGCCGCGGUAAUACGAAGGGUGCAAGCGUUAAUCGGAAUUACUGGGCGUAAAGCGCGCGUAGGUGGUUCAGCAAGUUGGAUGUGAAAUCCCCGGGCUCAACCUGGGAACUGCAUCCAAAACUACUGAGCUAGAGUACGGUAGAGGGUGGUGGAAUUUCCUGUGUAGCGGUGAAAUGCGUAGAUAUAGGAAGGAACACCAGUGGCGAAGGCGACCACCUGGACUGAUACUGACACUGAGGUGCGAAAGCGUGGGGAGCAAGCAGGAUUAGAUACCCUGGUAGUCCACGCCGUAAACGAUGUCGACUAGCCGUUGGGAUCCUUGAGAUCUUAGUGGCGCAGCUAACGCGAUAAGUCGACCGCCUGGGGAGUACGGCCGCAAGGUUAAAACUCAAAUGAAUUGACGGGGGCCCGCACAAGCGGUGGAGCAUGUGGUUUAAUUCGAAGCAACGCGAAGAACCUUACCUGGCCUUGACAUGCUGAGAACUUUCCAGAGAUGGAUUGGUGCCUUCGGGAACUCAGACACAGGUGCUGCAUGGCUGUCGUCAGCUCGUGUCGUGAGAUGUUGGGUUAAGUCCCGUAACGAGCGCAACCCUUGUCCUUAGUUACCAGCACCUCGGGUGGGCACUCUAAGGAGACUGCCGGUGACAAACCGGAGGAAGGUGGGGAUGACGUCAAGUCAUCAUGGCCCUUACGGCCAGGGCUACACACGUGCUACAAUGGUCGGUACAAAGGGUUGCCAAGCCGCGAGGUGGAGCUAAUCCCAUAAAACCGAUCGUAGUCCGGAUCGCAGUCUGCAACUCGACUGCGUGAAGUCGGAAUCGCUAGUAAUCGUGAAUCAGAAUGUCACGGUGAAUACGUUCCCGGGCCUUGUACACACCGCCCGUCACACCAUGGGAGUGGGUUGCUCCAGAAGUAGCUAGUCUAACCGCAAGGGGGACGGUUACCACGGAGUGAUUCAUGACUGGGGUGA